rnacentral:rRNA from 1 species
GGGGAACUGAAACAUCUAAGUACCCGGAGGAAAAGAAAUCAACCGAGAUUCCCCCAGUAGCGGCGAGCGAACGGGGAACAGCCCAGAACCUGAAUCAGUUUGUGCAUUAGUGGAAGCGUCUGGAAAGACGCGCGAUACCGGGUGAUAGUCCCGUACACGAAAGUGCACAGAUUGUGAGUUCGAAGAGUAGGGCGGGACACGUGGUAUCCUGUCUGAAUAUGGGGGGACCAUCCUCCAAGGCUAAAUACUCCUGACUGAC